GCUCAGGAGGCAGGAAUCACAGAACAGCCAUUAUUUUUUACCACUCCACAAAAAUUCUACAUUUAGAAAGCAGAUUUGCAGCUCGGAAAGCCUGAAUCCGAAUCCUCCAGAAAUGCCAUUAAAUCACACCAAUUAAGCUGGACCAACUAAAUGCCCCUGUCACUGCUCUCUGCACACUCAAGGACUACCAGCCUAGAUGGAGGCCAUGAGAACCUGGAGGCUGGGGCCACGGAGCUGGCUGCAAAGCCGGAAGAGGCAGGAAAUUCUGCCUUAUAAACCUUAGCACACACCCUUCGAGCAUAGGUUCCCAUCAAGAUCUGGUCGAGCGGGGUGGAUCGAGUCUGUUGUUUUUACGCUCAUUGCCUGAUUUCUUGCGGGCACUCUGACUGUCUGUAGAUGCAAUCUACGGAGGAAAGAGCAUGUGAAGAAGAAACCUCCACCUUUCACAAAGAUGCUCACCCUUGGAAUCAAGCUGCCAUAUUGUGAGGAAGCUCAGGCUACAUGGAGCUGUCACAUGGGUCUGGCCAAGACAGUCCAGCCAACCUCUCAGCCAACAGCUAGCAUCAAAGCCCAGAAUGAUGAGGGAGCAAGCCUUUGGAUGAUUCCAGCAACCAGCUUUUGAGCUGCCCCCACUGAGAUUCCAUGGUGGCACCUGGUGGCACAGAGACAAGCUGCCCCACCACGCCCUUUCUGAAUUCCUG
rnacentral:lncRNA from 1 species